GGGGCAGUAGCUCAGCCUGGGAGAGCACACGGCUGAAGACCGUGGUGUCGCGGGUCCAAAUCCCGCCUGCCCCA
rnacentral:tRNA from 1 species